AUCGAACGCUGGCGGCAGGCUUAACACAUGCAAGUCGAGCGGGGAGAUGUAGCUUGCUACAUUUCCUAGCGGCGGACGGGUGAGUAAUGCUUAGGAAUCUGCCUAUUAGUGGGGGACAACAUUCCGAAAGGAAUGCUAAUACCGCAUACGCCCUACGGGGGAAAGCAGGGGAUCUUCGGACCUUGCGCUAAUAGAUGAGCCUAAGUCAGAUUAGCUAGUUGGUGGGGUAAAGCCUACCAAGGCGACGAUCUGUAGCGGGUCUGAGAGGAUGAUCCGCCACACUGGGACUGAGACACGGCCCAGACUCCUACGGGAGGCAGCAGUGGGGAAUAUUGGACAAUGGGCGCAAGCCUGAUCCAGCCAUGCCGCGUGUGUGAAGAAGGCCUUUUGGUUGUAAAGCACUUUAAGCGAGGAGGAGGCUACUUGGAUUAAUACUCUAGGAUAGUGGACGUUACUCGCAGAAUAAGCACCGGCUAACUCUGUGCCAGCAGCCGCAGUAACAC
rnacentral:rRNA from 1 species